AACCUGGUUGAUCCUGCCAGUAGUCAUACGCUUGUCUCAAAGAUUAAGCCAUGCAUGUCUAAGUAUAAACGACUCUAUACUGUGAAACUGCGUACGGCUCAUUAAACCAGUUAUAGUUUAUUUGAUAUUCCCCUACUACUCGGAUACCCGUAGUAAUUCUAGAGCUAAUACGUGCGUCAAGCGGCAUAUGUCGCGUCAUUAUUAGAUAGAAACCAAUGCGCUUUCGGGCGGAAUUGUGGUGAGUCAUGAUAAUUCAGCGGAUCGCAUGGCCUCGCGCCGGCGAUGGAUCAUUCAAGUUUCUGCCCCUAUCAGCUUUGGAUGGUAGGGUAUUGGCCUACCAUGGCUUUAACGGGUAACGGAGAAUUAGGGUUCGAU
rnacentral:rRNA from 1 species